rfam:Phascolarctobacterium sp. CAG:207 genomic scaffold, scf62
UUGUUACCAUAAGCGCAAGUGCCGCCUUUGGCGGCAGACGAGGGAGAGGUUUAUCGAUCAGUCAGCGGGUACCUCUCGGCUAGCUGCAGGCCGUAAGCAGACUACAAAUUCCGGCGGUAACGACGGUGACAAAAUGUCUGUGGCAGAAUUGG